UUUGAGAUUCAUUCUCAACAUAAUGUGAGCACAACAACUUGCUAUAGGAGUGAAACUCAAUUAAAUGAAGUGAAGGAUACAAUAGAGUAGAGAGAGAUGGUCUACCCUCUCCUCUCUCUACUUUCCUCUUAUUUUCCUUUUACUGCCCCAACCUACCAUCUUCUCCAAUGGCGACUAAACCCACCUACAAAGAUAUAGCCUCAAAUUCCAUAAUCCCAUCUGAUCAACCAAUGUUUUUCGUCGAUUCUGACACUGAAUUGUUUGGGUCGGAGGGAGAUUCGAUUGAUCUCACUCAGGACGAAAAACUCCGCAUCUAUUCUCCUUGGAAAUUUUCGGUCAUUUUGAAGGUUUUCAGAGGGAAACUUACCCACCCUUAUCUCAAUACUAAACUUGAUGCUCUUUGGAAACUCUCUGAACCAUUAUGCCUAAUUGGUUUGGGUCAUGAUUUUUUCACAGCGAAAUUCAAAGGAAAGGACAACCAGGAACUAGUACUACAUCAUGAUCCAUGGUUUGUAUCUGGUAGCUUCAUUUUCGUUGGGAAAUGGGAGCCCAACUUCAUCCCUAGUACCACUAAGAUUAACUCUACUGCAAUCUGGGUGCACCUGCCGCAAUUACCCACUGAGUUUUAUGAUCGAUCAAUCCUAGAGCGAAUUGACCAAAAAAUUGGGAUCCUUCUCAGGGUUGACGCAUGCACAUCCUCGACUGUACGUGGUCGAUACGCACACAUCUGUGUGCAAAUCAAAUUGGGAAAGCCAAUAAGGACCUCUGUCACUAUUGGCUCCCACAAACAAUAACUCAUCUAUGAAGGUGAGAAAAUCCUGUGUAAAUCUUGUGGCUGUUUGAGACAUACGAUGACCUCUUGUCCAGCAAAUCCACCUCCACUGCUUUUAACUGCUGUUUCGGACUCCAUGGGGAACACUCCAGCUGUAGAGGAGAAGAAUGAGUGGAAAACAAUAUCUUUUCACAAGAGAUCUGGUUAGAAUUUUGAUCCACCCAACCGCCGAAUAGGCCUUCAAUGUGGUAACGGUGUGCCCCUCGCCACUCCAGGUUGAUGCUGCAAAGACUAGGAAGGCCUCCGGUCCAACAUAACUACAGGGAACAGAACAGAGUGGCAGAUGCUCUAGCAAAGGAAGGCGCAAAAGGAAAUUUUUUGGACUACUGUAAAGUUUUUGUAUCCCCGCCCCAUUUUGUAACCCACACAGUUUGGGAUGAUAUGUUAGGAAAACGAUUCUCUAGAUCAGUUUUUUCUUCUCAGACGCCGAUUACACGU